AUUGAACGCUGGCGGCAGGCCUAACACAUGCAAGUCGAACGAGUGGCGGACGGGUGAGUAAUUUCUGGGAAACUGACUGAGGGAUGGGGAUAACUAGUGGAAACGGUAGCUACUACCGCAUAACAUCGUAUGUGCCCAGAUGGGAUUAGCUAGUAGGUGGGGUAAAGGCGCACCAAGGCGACGAUCCCUAGCUGGUCUGAGAGGAUGACCAGCCACACUGGAACUGAGACACGGUCCAGACUCCUACGGGAGGCAGCAGUGGGGAAUAUUGGACAAUGGGCGCAAGCCUGAUGCAGCCAUGCCGCGUGUAUGAAGAAGGCCUUCGGGUUGUAAAGUACUUUCAGCGGGGAGGCGUUACCCACAGAGUAAGCACCGGCUAACUCCGUGCCAGCAGCCGCGGUAAUAC
rnacentral:rRNA from 1 species